CACGUAGGCGGCUUUCUAAGUCGGGGGUGAAAUCCUGGAGCUCAACUCCAGAACUGCCUUCGAUACUGGAGAGCUCGAGUCCGGGAGAGGUGAGUGGAACUGCGAGUGUAGAGGUGAAAUUCGUAGAUAUUCGCAAGAACACCAGUGGCGAAGGCGGCUCACUGGCCCGGUACUGACGCCGAGGUGCGAAAGCGUGGGGAGCAAACAGGAUUAGAUACCCUGGUAGUCCACGCUGUAAACGAUGGAUGCUAGCCGUUGGCGAGCUUGCUCGUCAGUGGCGCAGCUAACGCUUUAAGCAUCCCGCCUGGGGAGUACGGUCGCAAGAUUAAA
rnacentral:rRNA from 1 species